rnacentral:rRNA from 1 species
UACAGAGGUCUCAAGCGUUGUUCGGAUUCAUUGGGCGUAAAGGGUGCGUAGGCGGUGUGGUAAGUCGAAUGUGAAAUCUCGGAGCUCAACUCCGAAACUGCAUUCGAUACUGCCAUACUCGAGGAUUGUAGAGGAGAUCGGAAUUCACGGUGUAGCAGUGAAAUGCGUAGAUAUCGUAAGGAAGACCAGUGGCGAAGGCGGGUCUCUGGACAGUUCCUGACGCUGAGGCACGAAGGCCAGGGAGCAAACGGG